AGACAAGUCAAAUGUGAAAAGGAGGUUGGCUUUAGGACCUACAGUAAACGUGCAUCACUGGGACCUAUAGUAAACGUGCCACUGUGAAGAAAACACCAUAACUAGACAAUUUUAGUAGUUGGUGGGACCCACACAUUAGCAGGUGAAUGGUAAAUGGUACCUUUUAUUGUGGAUCACCCCUGGACCAAAGACUUGGUACCUUUUGUUAUUGUAAGUUCCAAAUUACUUUGUUUCUGUAUUGCGUCGGAGCUAUCCGGAUGUUGAGUGGGGGUCCCUGGAAGGUGAGAACCACUAUUAUGACCAUGAUGAAGCUGUCCAUUUCCUAUUGACAACAAUAUGGGUAGCCUGACCAUUUGAACAGGCCUGUGCUUAUGUAUUAUCUCGAAAUUGAUGAAGCAGAUCCGGAUGUGCAUCGGAGCUAUUUGGAUGUUGAGCAGGGGUCCCGGGAAGAUAUAUUGGAAGGACUUCUUAAAUUGCUAGGGAAUAGGGAAUGUGUUGACUGCAAAAGCAAGUAGGUAUCUUGGUUGAAUUGUGAUAACGAAUGAUCUUUUAUUGCAAAAGCUGGAGGACAAGGAGUAAGUAGUGGGCACAUGUCAGUUACGGAUACUUCACAAAAUGAGACAUUGGAGGUUGGACCUGGGAAUUUGAAGAUGUCCUUUUCAUCAACAUCUGGACAACUGAAACGUAUGACGAAUUAUAGAACAGGGGUGAAAGAUUUGGAUGUGGAACUUGAAAGUACUAAGCAGAAAAGUAAACAAAACCGGCAACAAGCCAUCUUAAUUGAAAGGGAAAGAGUUACUCAAAUGCAGUGGGAUAUGGAAGAACUUUGUAGGAAGUAUUUGGAGAUGGAGUCAAAGCUAAAGUUUGAACAUGUUCCUUUUUUGUAAUUCUUAUGAUAGGUUGAGCAAAGUGAAGUAUUGUUUAUUUAGAAAUGUGAAUGUGGGAUGUAUUGUAUGAUUUGAUUGCUAUUUGUAAUAACUGCAUCAUUUUUUUU